UGUUUGCUCUGAAUCAGCUUCUACACCCAAUCAUUCAUAGGUUGAUAAUCCUCAUUGCUUCGGUCCUACAGGAAAAAUUCAGUACCAGGCUAAAUACUCUAUUUUUCAAGAAAGAAUCAAACAAAUUGGAAAGCAUUCUCUCUUGUAGAAUUCAAUUUCAUUUCACGAUAGGAAGGAGGUUACAUCCAUACCAUUCGGCACCACCAAGACAAGCCCUCUCUGCGGAGAACAUCAGAGAGCUGCUUUUAUACAUCAACCUGUCAAAGGAAAGGAUUCAGGAAAGAGGAAAUAAAGCCACUUGAUUCAUUCAAUUCAUUCAUGGUAAGAAAAGAAAGAAAAUCUUCUUUUUGAGUAACAGCAAUUAAAUACCUCCUCCUCGCUGCCACUGAUGCCAGCAGUUAAAUUGGCAUGUUCAUGCGAAAAAAUAGCACAAGCCUGAUAAUUCCACCAUCAGUUCUGGUGUCAAAAAUACUUUGCAGCUACGACUAAAGUCUUCUUCUUGAUGGGUAUCAAAUGAGUCCUUUUUUAUUUCAC
rnacentral:lncRNA from 1 species